rnacentral:lncRNA from 1 species
GAAAGAUGUUCAAGUGUGAGUUUAGUGAUGGAGGAGCUUCUUUUCAACUUGGGUAUUCAGGUGUGCUGAUGGUUAAGAAAUCAUGUAAGAUGUGGUCCCUGCUCUCACAGUCUCACAGGAUAGCUGCUCUUAUGUCUGAAGGCACAAGGCCAUCACCCCAAGUACGUGCAUACCUGCUGAAUGUGCAGAUGUACUUCCUUGUAUAGAGCUCCAGAGCUUGCGUUUUAAACAAGGACUCUUGUGAUUCUGAUGCUGAUGUUUCAGCUACUUGGAGGCUGAGGUCUGACUGCUAGAUUCAACCACAUGGUUUUUACAGUGCUCACUUGCUGUGUGUCCUGGGGUUACAGAGGCACGUGAAACAUGACCCCUGCCUUGAUGGAUGAAGCAUGUGUGAACAAAGAGGCACAAAGAGCCCCAAGUCCAGUUUCACACAUUGGUGAAGAGCUGGGUCUUCGUGUGGAGCUGGAAAGGAGGAAGGAGGUUCUGCAGUCUCACAUCUGAGGCCUAUAGGAGAGUUUAUCAAAUAAUCUGGCCCAAGAAUUGCUCCUCUGUGGAAGACUACUUUCUGUGACCAUGGCAGACAUCAUGCACUAUCCUGAGACUCUUCUGAGCCAGAGGAAGUUUAAAAUCUUUUUGAACGAAGCGAACCAGGAGCCACUGCUAGAUUCUGGCUAUCUGAAUCCUUUUCUUACCCCUCUUGGAUAUUUCAUGCCUCAAAAAUCUCAGGUUCUUCUAGCUUUCCCCGACAGUGGGCUAGACUAUCUGGAUCUGAUUACCCAUUGAGGAAAAAAUCUACAGGUCCUCUUAAAGGCAUUAAUAGAUAACAAGAUAGUAUAAAAUUACCAGAAAAAUUAAUUAAGGGAAAACAUGCGAGGGAAAGACUUUUUGCCAUAAGGGCAUUGGCC